GUCCUUUAAGUACAUAUUAGAAAUCAACGCCUGUUCUAAAAGUUAAUUCUUUGUUGAAUAGGUGCUAAAGAUAAAGACAAACACGCUGGGGCCUCAUUGGACAUCUGUAGGGAAAAUAUUUGUUCUGUUUGCUUUAAUAUGUACGCUUAAUCUGUAUCUUGUAUUUUUAAUAUCUUAUUCCUGGUUUCCUGAUGUUCCUUUAAAUAGAAAAAUGGCAGAAAAUAAUAUUUUUUUUCUACAUCAGAAU